ACUACUUCACCUACCUUUUGUUGUUGCUUAAUAGUAAGUGCCAAUCUUGAAACCUCGGUAAAGUAGUACAAUUAAACCAACCGCAAAUCUCAAUAAUUAUUCUCUUAAUCCUUUACUGAAUCAAUGGACACACAUCCUUCUUAAAAUAGGGCGAGGAGUGUGGCUUGAAAGCUAUGUAAAAAUGAACAUUGUACUCUGUAACUAAACAUGUUUUCAGUUUGUUUCGA
rnacentral:lncRNA from 1 species